GCCCUAUCAGGGCUUCGACUGAAACUUCUGCCCCUACUCUUAUCAGUCAUAUCCCUUCUACCAUCGAAUCUUCCAUGACCACGUCCACGGCCAUCCAUGUAACUAUGACGAUCAUUUGGGCCUCGAUCAUUCCUACCCCAACCUACAUGUCCACCACCAGAGCCACCAAAACCCCUUCCCCUGUUUUCCCGCCCAGAAAACAAGUCGUUUCUCCCACCACGUCCCCCAAAGUUCCCAUCCCUCAUCCCACCACGUCCCCCAAAGCUGUUUUCCCUCAUCCCACCACGUCCCCCAAAGCUGUUUUCCCGCAUCCCACCACGGCCACCAAAGCCACCAUCUCUCAUCCCACCACGACCACCAAAGCCACCAUCUCUCAUCCCACCACGGCCACCAGAAGCCCACCGCCCACCACCCCUGCCAGCAUCAAAACGGUUCAACCCUCCUCGAUCCUUCCCAAAGCUAGGUCCACCACGCAACGCCAUCUCUCGCACCUCUACGGGCACAUGCUGAUUAGCUCCCUCCAGCAGUUUAACCAGGUCAGCUGCAUAUUUCCAGUCCUGCUCAGAGAAAAAGGUGUAUGACACCC
rnacentral:lncRNA from 1 species